GACGAACGCUGGCGGCGCGCCUAACACAUGCAAGUCGAGCGGGAAGCUUUUAAGGAUUCUUCGGAUGAAUUAAAGUGGAGAGCGGCGGACGGGUGAGUAACGCGUGGGAACGUGCCCUUCUCUACGGAAUAGUCCUGGGAAACUGGGUUUAAUACCGUAUACGCCCUUCGGGGGAAAGAAUUUCGGGGAAGGAUCGGCCCGCGUUGGAUUAGGUAGUUGGUGGGGUAAUGGCCUACCAAGCCGACGAUCCAUAGCUGGUUUGAGAGGAUGAUCAGCCACACUGGGACUGAGACACGGCCCAGACUCCUACGGGAGGCAGCAGUGGGGAAUCUUAGACAAUGGGGCAACCCUGAUCUAGCCAUGCCGCGUGAGUGACGAAGGCCCUAGGGUCGUAAAGCUCUUUCGCCAGGGAUGAUAAUGACAGUA
rnacentral:rRNA from 1 species